rnacentral:tRNA from 1 species
AGUUACUUAGCUUAAUUAUUAAAGCCUGUAUUUUGAAAAUACAUGAUUAGAUAUCUCUCUAGUAACUU